UGUCUCUCUGUGUAGCAGCAGGGUGACCCAGUAAGUGACCUGAUGGAAGUGGCAACCAGAGUGACUGUGAUUAGCCUGGAAGAUGUGUCUAAGGAAUCACUCCGUUCUCUAUUCCGGCUUCAAGAACGAGCAUCAGGGAGGACCAGAGCAAACAGGAGACCUGGAGACCUGGCGGGAGGUGGGACGUGUGAGCGCCUGAGGAGGCUGACCCAGAACUGUUGCUUGUAGUGCUGCUGGCCAGGAGGGAGGUCCGAUCAACGAGGCAGCUAUUUAAAGAUCUGGCAGAAGAUCCUGGUUCAGAUCUCCAGAGCAGCAUCUGAUGCCGCAGGCCAGGCUGCCCAGUAGGCUCAAAUUAAACGGACCUAGGCAACAAAGCAUCCAUCUUCCCUUUCUUGGACCCUGGCUGUGGGGACCCAGAGGUGUUGCUUCUGCAGACCCCAACGCUGGAAUCUUUUCUAGGCGCUUUUAACAUGCAAAUGGCUCUAGGAAGCAAUAUUAAUUCAAGACUUCUGAAUAGCUGGGAACCAGGGGGAGGGGAAGAGCUGUCGGAGUGGUGCCAGCUUCCUCCAACACAGGGGCAAAGGAUCCAGAAGCACCUCUGGGGUUCCCACCUUCAGCCGCUUCCCCCAAGGAACCAGGUUUUGUAGCACUACUUUGCUUGGAAGCUCCUGAAGGAAUCCUCUCUCGCCCUACUGGAGGACUUGGAACCAAUGUGGUGUCCGUUGUACACAGUUUAUUAGUCUACCACAGCUUCCAUAAGGCUUUAUCGUUGAGCUUUUACCGCUUUUCUGCCUAACCAACCCAGAGAGAACUGGUGCUGGAUGAGGCUACCUGGUUUCUCCUAGAGGAAGCCAGCUGAAGUAAGGAACCCCAAGUCCUCGUGCAUUCCCUAAGGAGGACCAACUGCACAGACCCAGUAGCUUACUCCUUAACCAGCUCUUUGAUCACCUUCCUUCGAUGGGUCCUUCCUGCCCUCUAGGUCUGUUCAAAACUCCUAAUACCUAAAUGGAACACAGACCUGAUCUCUUCCCUUACCCUCCUGAGCACCUUGCAGAACUUGUAAGCAAUCUUUUUUUCCUUUUUCUAAAGGUUUCGUUAACCUGCUUCUGCCUUUGGGAUUAAAGGCUUGUUCUGCCAUGCCAA